AGGCCUUUUUUAGAAUGCAUACAAACGGAACCAUAUCUAAGUGAUGUCUGGCUUUUUUAACUUAGCACAAUGCUUUGAGAUUCAUACUAUUGUGUUUAAUUAGUAAUUCAUUUGUGUUAUUGCUGAAUGGUAGUCUAUCAUACGGGUAAGCCACAGUUUAUUUAUCCAUUCACCAAUUGAUGGGCCUGUCGGUUGUAGGGAACAGGAGAAAACUUCCCCUUUGCCCUCUGAAGGGUCACCGAAAAUCAACUGACAAGGCUGGGCCUGGCAUCCUGCCUGUAACCCCAGCCCUUUUUUAGCCCAAGGCAGGAGGAUCUCUUCUUUGUGAAGUGUGUAUUCAAAUCUUUUGACCAUUUAUUUAUUAGCUAGCUUGACUUUUUAUCUAAGAGUUCUUUAUAUAUUAUUGAGUUCUUUAUAUGUUUCAUACCAUGUUCUUUAUUAGCUAUACGUUUUGAAAUGUUUUCUACCUGUCUGUGGCUUGCCUCUUCAUUUUAAGUGUCUUUUGAAGCACUGAAGUUUUAAAUUUUGAUAUAAUUUAUCCAUUUUGUUCUUUUACAUAGUUCAUACCUUUUUUGUCCUACUUAAGACAUUUUUGCUAAAUUCAAGAUUAUAAGAUUUCCUCAUUUGUUACCUUCUGGAAGUUUUAUAAUUGUUGGUCUUCAUUAUAUUUAAAAUGAAUUAUUCUUUAUAGUAUCGAUAGAUGCUGGAGGCAGAUAAGGGAGGGUCCCUGGAGAAUCUCUGACCUGCCCCACAAGCUUUUGUGCAGCUGAGGAAGCCUGCCCAGGGUCUUGUCUGGGCAUGCCCACAAGGGACUUGGGGGCCCACUGCACCGGGAGAGUGGGGUGCAGCCAGAGGGAAUUCAGCCUUAUGCAGCAGGGAGGAGCAAGAAGUCUUCAGCUUGUGUGUGUUGGCCUGUUAUUCAGUCUGUGAGCUGGGAGCCUGUUGGCAGGACCCUCCUUGUUUUUUUGCUGAGAGCUUUUAAUAAAUGCCACUCUUCACCUUGCAAUGUAUUCACAUGCCUAAUUGUUCCUGGUCAUGAGACAAGAACCUGGAUUUUAGCUGAGCUAAGGAGCAAAAAUUCCUGCAUCAGUAUGAGUGUUCUGAUGGUGAGGUGUCCAGGUCUUGGCACAUUGAACAAAGAAUUGAACAACACACAUGAACAAGCGGUGAAGGAGUGAAUUUAUGAAAGUGGAAGACAGUGGGCCGGGCGCAGUGUCACACCUGUAAUCCCAGCACUUUGGGAGGCCGAGACAGGCGGAUCACGAGGUGUAAGGAAGAACAGAAGGAUCCAAGUGUGAGAAAGCCCACCCUGAGUCUCUCAGAGAUUCAUUUCACUACCAGGUCAAAGACACAAUCAAAAGCCCGACAAAUGGAAUUUGUGGAAUUGGAACAAAAAGCUUUUCUUCCUAGGCACAAGAACAUCAAAGCAUAAAUCCUUCAGGUAUCAGCAAUGACAUCACUUAAGAAUUUCUGAGAAUCUUUGGCACCACCCCAGGCCUACCGGAUCAGAAUCUGAAUUUUUUAACAAGAUCUCAGAUCUAGUCAAGAGUCCAAUCUGAUUUCUCUUUAUUGGGACUACCACCCAAAGCAGAAUGAGGAUGAUGUAACCACGCCCAGUGACUUCUGGAUACCACUGACUCUAGGCAUUUUGCAGAUCCUGAAUUCCAGCAGAAUGGCUGACACCAACUGGUCUGAAGACCCUCACCAAGGAACUGACUCAGUGCAGGAAUGCAGUUUCUUCAUCUCCCUAUCCCUGACUUCACCCCUCACUUCUCAACCAAUCAGUGAUCACCACACUUUAGGCCAUCGCCUGUGUCCAGACCCCUUAAAAACCCCAUCUGCAAACCUCUUGAAGAGGCAUAUUUGAGGUUUCCUCUCAUCUCCUCAUUUGGUUUCCCUACAAUUAUUAAAUUCUUUCUCUGCUGCAACUCCUACUUUUUCAGUGUAUUGGUCUGUUACUGUGCAACAGGAAAUCAGACCUGGUGGUCCUAUAGUAAGAGUUCACAGAAUAUGAUAUACAAAGUGAUCUGUGAUAUACAAAAACCGGCACAGUCUCACUCUUAAUAAGAAAAAUUCAACCUAAAAUUAAAAGUUUUUUUUCCUCAGAAUGGCAAAGAUCAAAGUUUGAUAACAUGGUUGGAAAGUAUGCAGACCGAUAUUCUCAUAUUCAUUGAUGAAGUGUAAAUUGAUACAUCCUUUGUCAGUACGCACAGGUUUCCCAACUCUAGGGGUGAAAUUUAUACAGACUACAGUGUGAAUGACAACCACUUCAAAUUGGGUGAUAUGAUGACCUUGACUCUGUGGAGGGUCAUUUGGCAAAAUAUCUCAAAAUAAAAAUGUACAUACAAUUUGA